GUUUUCCACAAGGAAUAAAUUUUAAAUUACAAUUGCACAAACGGAUCCUCAACACACACAAAAACGCACACCCCCUUACAACUACCCACCCACCCACCGUGUAUGUGCAUUUUUACUAUCAAGAUUAAAGACAACCAUUUUAUCUCCUUUUUUACUUGCAAGGUGGUUUAGGGGGAAAGAGAAGGCUUUACACUUAUAUCAAGUUCUUUUGGGUGCUUUAGCUAGAAUUUUUAAUUAUUACAUAGUCAAUGAAUUCUUAAAUGUGUGAUCUGGAUGUUAUUUCUUUGUACAGAAACCUAUA
rnacentral:misc_RNA from 1 species